GAACAAUCCAGAGAGAUUAUGAGAGAGGGAGAGAGAGAGGGAGUGCGUGUGUUUCUUUGCUUUGCAUGAAGAGAUAGAGAGAGAUCAUCAUCUCAGCAAGAGGUCAGUUGCUCUUUGUCACGAGUGUGAUCGGAGAGGUUUUUAUUAGGUGGUUUGUAUCAAAUCUCUUCUCAGCUUUCAUCACCAACUCUAAAAAUUUGGGUUCGUCAUCCGCAAGGUAAUUAGUUGAGCGGAUUUUGGGUGUUUUCUCAUCUUUGGUUUUGGGUGACAAGCUAUUUAGUUGUACCCCGGAUACUCAUAGAGACAGAGAGGAGGCAAAGUUAAGAGAAAAGAACAGGAGAAGAAGACGACGACGUUCAUAGGCUAUCAGUUCAGUUGUUUUUGUCCUUUCAACACAUCGGCCUUUGGAAUGUUCAGUUGUUCAAUUUGAUCGGAAAGACAGAGAGUUCAAGGUCUGCAUCAAGUUGGCGAACAAACCUGACCUGUAUCAACCAAUUUAAUUUGUAGACGCCGUUCAUAUACUUCUGAGAUUCCUCUAAUUUCUCAUUGCACCUCUGUUUCUGCUAAAUUUCGAGUCUCGCGGCAACGCGCGGGGUGCUAUUUCUAGUAACUAUACUAAAG